rnacentral:rRNA from 1 species
UACAUGGGGUGCAAACGUUGCUCGGAAUUAUUGGGCGUAAAGAGCGCGCAGGCGGUCGUUCAAGUCGAGUGUGAAAGCCCCCGGCUCAACUGGGGAGGGUCACUCGAUACUGAUCGACUUGAAGGCAGGAGAGGGAAGCGGAAUUCCCGGUGUAGUGGUGAAAUGCGUAGAUAUCGGGAGGAACACCAGUGGCGAAGGCGCCACUCUGGGCCGAAACUGACGCUGAGGAGCGAAAGCAUGGGGAGCAAACAGG